UUUUGAAAAAGGCACACUUAUCGAAAGGUAGGGUCGCAAAACUGAGGGUCUAAGGUAUAAUCUUAUACUAUGAUUGCCAGAUUACCAAA
rnacentral:ncRNA from 1 species